rnacentral:rRNA from 1 species
GAGCGGACAGAUGGGAGCUUGCUCCCUGAUGUUAGCGGCGGACGGGUGAGUAACACGUGGGUAACCUGCCUGUAAGACUGGGAUAACUCCGGGAAACCGGGGCUAAUACCGGAUGGUUGUUUGAACCGCAUGGUUCAAACAUAAAAGGUGGCUUCGGCUACCACUUACAGAUGGACCCGCGGCGCAUUAGCUAGUUGGUGAGGUAAUGGCUCACCAAGGCAACGAUGCGUAGCCGACCUGAGAGGGUGAUCGGCCACACUGGGACUGAGACACGGCCCAGACUCCUACGGGAGGCAGCAGUAGGGAAUCUUCCGCAAUGGACGAAAGUCUGACGGAGCAACGCCGCGUGAGUGAUGAAGGUUUUCGGAUCGUAAAGCUCUGUUGUUAGGGAAGAACAAGUACCGUUCGAAUAGGGCGGUACCUUGACGGUGCCUAACCCGAAAGCCACGGCAAACUACGUGCCAGCAGCCGCGGUAAUACGUAGGUGGCAAGCGUUGUCCGGAAUUAUUGGGCGUAAAGGGCUCGCAGGCGGUUUCUUAAGUCUGAUGUGAAAGCCCCCGGCUCAACCGGGGAGGGUCAUUGGAAACUGGGGAACUUGAGUGCAGAAGAGGAGAGUGGAAUCCCACGUGUAGCGCUGAUAUGCGUAGAGAUGUGGAGGAACACCACUGGCGAAGGCGAAUCUUUG